rnacentral:rRNA from 1 species
AGUGAACGCUGGCGGUAGGCCUAACACAUGCAAGUCGAACGGCAGCACAGUAAGAGCUUGCUCUUACGGGUGGCGAGUGGCGGACGGGUGAGGAAUACAUCGGAAUCUACUUUUUCGUGGGGGAUAACGUAGGGAAACUUACGCUAAUACCGCAUACGACCUACGGGUGAAAGCAGGGGAUCUUCGGACCUUGCGCGAUUGAAUGAGCCGAUGUCGGAUUAGCUAGUUGGCGGGGUAAAGGCCCACCAAGGCGACGAUCCGUAGCUGGUCUGAGAGGAUGAUCAGCCACACUGGAACUGAGACAGGGUCCAGACUCCUACGGGAGGCAGCAGUGGGGAAUAUUGGACAAUGGGCGCAAGCCUGAUCCAGCCAUACCGCGUGGGUGAAGAAGGCCUUCGGGUUGUAAAGCCCUUUUGUUGGGAAAGAAAAGCAGCAGGUUAAUACCCCGCUGUUCUGACGGUACCCAAAGAAUAAGCACCGGCUAACUUCGUG